rnacentral:lncRNA from 1 species
CCUGAGCUCGGACGUUAUAUAGAGAGGAUACUACGGAACAGAGCAGUUUCAUCGCAAUGUUAGCAGAGGCCAGGGGUCCAUCCUCCUUUUCGAAAAAAAAGAGUAGCACUGAUACGAUUUCAUCUAGUUCAGUUCAGACCAUAGGUAGGGAGCAUCUGAUGUUUUGUCUGACAAGGAGCCAUCGAACAGAAGAAGUGGAUGACGAUCGUCAGUUAUCCUAGCGAACUACUGACUGGCGAAGAUGCCAUGCUUCUUCGCCACCCUUCUGGUAGGAAAAGAACAUGUUGCCUUGUAGGGCGAUGCCAUUCUUUUGUUGUACAACCCUUCUUCUUCUUCUCCUUAGCAUUAGCAUUAGCAUCUGGAUAAGUUGGAAGGAAGGGAACUCCAUCGUGAACCCUGCUGCGCAUCGUUUGUAUAUAGAAAUUUUGGCCCAAAUUUGUGCGUGCUCGUUUUAUCCACCUUUCAGAAAGUUUCC